rnacentral:rRNA from 1 species
UGAGGAAUAUUGGUCAAUGGGCGAGAGCCUGAACCAGCCAAGUAGCGUGCAGGAUGACGGCCCUAUGGGUUGUAAACUGCUUUUAUAUGGGAAUAAAGUGAGGGACGUGUCCCUUAUUGCAUGUACCAUACGAAUAAGGACCGGCUAAUUCCGUGCCAGCAGCCGCGGUAAUACGGAAGGUCCAGGCGUUAUCCGGAUUUAUUGGGUUUAAAGGGAGCGUAGGCUGUUUGUUAAGCGUGUUGUGAAAUGUAAGAGCUCAACUUUUAGAUUGCAGCGCGAACUGGCAGACUUGAGUGCGCACAACGUAGGCGGAAUUCAUGGUGUAGCGGUGAAAUGCUUAGAUAUCAUGACGAACUCCGAUUGCGCAGGCAGCUUACUGUAGCAUAACUGACGCUGAUGCUCGAAAGUGCGGGUAUCAAACAGG